rnacentral:rRNA from 1 species
UGGCGGCAUGCCUUACACAUGCAAGUCGAACGGCAGCACGGGAGCUUGCUCCUGGUGGCGAGUGGCGAACGGGUGAGUAAUACAUCAGAACGUACCUGAAGUGGGGGAUAACGUAGCGAAAGUUACGCUAAUACCGCAUAUUCUGUGAGCAGGAAAGAGGGGGAUCGCAAGACCUCUUGCUUUUAGGAGCGGCCGAUGUCGGAUUAGCUAGUUGGUGAGGUAAAGGCUCACCAAGGCGACGAUCCGUAGCGGGGUCUGAGAGGAUGAUCCGCCACACUGGAACUGAGACACGGUCCAGACUCCUACGGGAGGCAGCAGUGAGGAAUAUUGGUCAAUGGGAGCAAUCCUGAACCAGCAAUGCCGCGUGUGGGAUGACAGGGCUUCGCCUUGUAAACCACUGUCGGACGGGACGAAAGGAGGCCUCGGGCCUCUGGGACGGUACCGUCAAAGGAAGGGUCGGCUAACUACGUG